AUUUCUUCUUCUUUUUUUUUUUUUUUAGUUCCCAAGAAAUUCAGUAUAUAAAUGUUAGUAGAGAUAUGGCUAAAAGAAAAGGAUCAAGAGAGAUUAAGAUUUAAGGAGAAAGGGAUUUUUGGAAUUAGGAGAUGGAGUAGAAGCUCGCUCCAUCCAUUCCACACAUCGACCUGGUAUUGCAGUAUUUCCAGGAACGGUGCACCCCCA
rnacentral:snRNA from 1 species